rnacentral:rRNA from 1 species
UUUAAAUUUAAAGAAUUUGGCGGUAAUUUAGCUUUUCAGAGGAACCUGUCCUUUAAUUGAUAAUCCACAAUAAAUUUUACUUUUAUUAUGUUUAUAUAUCUCUAUCAUUGAAUGUCUUUUUAAGGGUAAUUUUCUAAAGGAUUUAUUUAAUCAAAAUGUUAGGUCAAGGUUUAACAAUAUAAAAGUAGGGGUGGGUUACAUUAUUAUUAUAUGAGGAAUAUAAUAUGGAAAUAUAUAUGAAUUUGGAUUUGAUAGUAAAUUAUUUUAUAAUAAAUAUUUGAUACUAGCUCUAGAUUAUGC